AAGACAGAGAAGCCAGGUCACGUCUCUGCAGUUACACAGCUCACGAGUGCCUGCUGGGGUGGAACCUGGUCUGUCUGUCU
ensembl:miRNA MIR370 microRNA 370